GACGAACGCUGGCGGCGUGCUUAACACAUGCAAGUCGAACGGAAAGGCCCUGCUUUUGUGGGGUGCUCGAGUGGCGAACGGGUGAGUAACACGUGAGUAACCUGCCCUUGACUUUGGGAUAACUUCAGGAAACUGGGGCUAAUACCGGAUAGGAGCUCCUGCUGCAUGGUGGGGGUUGGAAAGAUUCGGCGGUUGGGGAUGGACUCGCGGCUUAUCAGCUUGUUGGUGGGGUAGUGGCUUACCAAGUCUUUGACGGGUAGCCGGCCUGAGAGGGUGACCGGCCACAUUGGGACUGAGAUACGGCCCAGAAUGCUACGGGAGGCAGCAGGGGGGAAUAUUGCACAAUGGGCGGAAGCCUGAGGCAGCAACGCUGCGUGCGGGAUGACGGCCUUCGGGUGGUAAACCGCUUUCGCCGGUGACGAAGCGUGAGUGACGGUAAUUGGUAAAGAAGCACCGGCUAACUACGUG
rnacentral:rRNA from 1 species